UACGUAGGGGGCUAGCGUUGUCCGGAAUCACUGGGCGUAAAGGGCGCGUAGGCGGCCCGGUAAGUAGGGGGUGAAAUCCUGCGGCUUAACCGCAGGGCUGCCUUCUAAACUGCCAGGCUCGAGCACAGUAGAGGCAGGUGGAAUUCCCGGUGUAGCGGUGGAAUGCGUAGAGAUCGGGAAGAACAUCGGUGGCGAAGGCGGCCUGCUGGGCUGUUGCUGACGCUGAGGCGCGACAGCGUGGGGAGCAAACAGG
rnacentral:rRNA from 1 species